ACUCCUACGGGAGGCAGCAGUGGGGAAUAUUGCACAAUGGGCGCAAGCCUGAUGCAGCGACGCCGCGUGGGGGAUGACGGCCUUCGGGUUGUAAACCUCUUUCACCAUCGACGAAGGCCCGCUUUUUGGUGGGUUGACGGUAGGUGGAGAAGAAGCACCGGCCAACUACGUGCCAGCAGCCGCGGUAAUACGUAGGGUGCGAGCGUUGUCCGGAAUUACUGGGCGUAAAGAGCUCGUAGGUGGUUUGUCGCGUUGUUCGUGAAAUUCCCUGGCUUAACUGGGGGCGUGCGGGCGAUACGGGCAGACUGGAGUACUGCAGGGGAGACUGGAAUUCCUGGUGUAGCGGUGGAAUGCGCAGAUAUCAGGAGGAACACCGGUGGCGAAGGCGGGUCUCUGGGCAGUAACUGACGCUGAGGAGCGAAAGCGUGGGGAGCGAACAGGAUUAGAUACCCUGGUAGUCCACGCCGUAAACGGUGGG
rnacentral:rRNA from 1 species